UCCGUAGGUGAACCUGCGGAAGGAUCAUUGUCGAUACCCACUGACGAGGACGACCGUGAAUGCGUCAACGAUUGCUCGUCGGUCUCCUCCCGACAACACCCCGAAUGUCGGUUCGCCAUCGGGCGGGAUGACCGAGGGGAUGAACUACCAACCCCGGCGCGAAUAGCGCCAAGGAACACGAACAUCGAAGUCGGAGGGCCUCGCUGCAUGCAGGAGGCUAGAACUCCGACGGUGACCCCAUUGGACGACUCUCGGCAACGGAUAUCUCGGCUCUCGCAACGAUGAAGAACGUAGCGAAAUGCGAUACCUAGUGUGAAUUGCAGAAUCCCGUGAACCAUCGAGUCUUUGAACGCAAGUUGCGCCCGAGGCCAUCCGGCUAAGGGCACGCCUGCCUGGGCAUCACACUUUCGACGCUUCGUCGUUGCCCCCUCGGGGUUGGGGGCGAACGCGGAGGAUGGCCCCCCCGUGCCGGAAGGUGCGGUUGGCCGAAGAGCGGGCCGUCGGUGGUUGUCGAACACGACGCGUGGUGGAUGCCUUGUGCGAGCCGUACGUCGUGCCUUCGGGACCCGGGCGAGGCCUCGAGGACCCAAGUCGUGGUGCGAGUCGAUGCCACGGACCGCGACCCCAGGUCAGGUGGGGCUACCCGCUGAGUUUAAGCAUAUCAAUAAGCGGAGGA
rnacentral:rRNA from 1 species